rnacentral:lncRNA from 1 species
AUAAAAUUCUAUAUAAAUCCUAAUCAAAAUAAUAAUUAAAUCUUAAUGAAGUUCUAAAAGAUAUUUAUAAAGUACACUUUAAAUCCUAAUCAAAUCCUAAACUCUAAAUAAAAUCCUAAAUAACUUCAAAAAAAUCUUUAGUAAAUCUUAACCAAUUCUUAUAGUUUUUUUAAAAUCUCCAUAAAAUUAAACAUACCAUUGAUCUCAUCCAAAAUUUCACUCAUACUUCAAUCUACAAGUAAUUAACAAGUACAAAAAAUUUGAAGAAAAUAAAAUUCACUAAUUCAAAAAAAAAGCUCUCAAACCUCUCAACCCUCUCAAGUGUCAGCCCUCUUCUAUUUCCAACUCAAAUGU